AGUUAGCAAAUAGCUUUCAAUAGUCUAAGAAUAGUACAUGGAAGUAAAAUAUAGUAUGAUAAUUCCAUGAUUAUAUCAAAUCAAAUGCGAGACAUUUUCUUAAUAUUAUACCUAAAUAUUAAAAUGUCACUGUUUAUUUUUAUUUUUGCUCAUUAUAAGCAUAAAGUUACAAAAAUCUAGUCUGGUCAAAGUCAAGUUGUAUAUUAUCUAUAUGCAGGAAGGUUUUCCGAAUGCAUGUGAUUUUAACCUCGGAAUUGAUGGUAAUUAUUCACUUUUCAAUUUCCAUAUUACCAGCCAGAAUAAUAUAAAUAUAUAGCAUACAGUUAGUAUCUUAUGCAAGAAUAUGCUACACAAAAUUGAAAUGUGUUUAUUUUAAACAAUUACUUUGAAUUUUGAUUCAAUAUUG
rnacentral:lncRNA from 1 species